UCCAUAACUCAAGCACAGCUUGUUUGUUGAGCCAAAUUGCUUUCAUAGUCGGGAGCAGGCUCGAAAUGCAGUGGUGAACGAUACUGAGUUUGGUUUGCCCGAGUGUUAUGGGGCUUUGUCAUGCACUCUUGUGGCCCAACCGGCGUUCCAUAAAACCUCAUUAAUAACUA
rnacentral:misc_RNA from 1 species